rnacentral:rRNA from 1 species
GAUGAACGCUGGCGGCGUGCCUAAUACAUGCAAGUCGAGCGAACGGACGAGAAGCUUGCUUCUCUGAUGUUAGCGGCGGACGGGUGAGUAACACGUGGAUAACCUACCUAUAAGACUGGGAUAACUUCGGGAAACCGGAGCUAAUACCGGAUAAUAUUUUGAACCGCAUGGUUCAAAAGUGAAAGACGGUCUUGCUGUCACUUAUAGAUGGAUCCGCGCUGCAUUAGCUAGUUGGUAAGGUAACGGCUUACCAAGGCAACGAUGCAUAGCCGACCUGAGAGGGGGAUCCGCCCACCUGGACCGGCGACCGGUUCCAGCCUCCUCGGGGGGGCCGGAGUAGGAAAUUUUCCGGAAUGGGGGAAAGCCUGACGGGGCAACGCCGGGGGAGUGAUGAAGGUCUUCGGUUCGUAAAACUUUUUUAUGAGGGAAAAACAAAUGGGUAAGUAACUGGGCCCAUCUUGACGGUCCCUAAUCAGAAAGCCACGGCUAACUCCUU